CCUACGGGUGGCAGCAGUGGGGAAUAUUGGACAAUGGGGGCAACCCUGAUCCAGCCAUGCCGCGUGUGUGAAGAAGGCCCUCGGGUUGUAAAGCACUUUCAGUGAGGAAGAACGCCUGGUGGUUAAUACCCAUCAGGAAAGACAUCACUCACAGAAGAAGCACCGGCGAACUCCGUGCCAGCAGCCGCGGUAAUACGGAGGGUGCGAGCGUUAAUCGGAAUUACUGGGCGUAAAGCGCGCGUAGGUGGCUUGAUAAGCCGGUUGUGAAAGCCCCGGGCUCAACCUGGGAACGGCAUCCGGAACUGUCAAGCUAGAGUGCAGGAGAGGAAGGUAGAAUUCCCGGUGUAGCGGUGAAAUGCGUAGAGAUCGGGAGGAAUACCAGUGGCGAAGGCGGCCUUCUGGACUGACACUGACACUGAGGUGCGAAAGCGUGGGUAGCAAACAGGAUUAGAUACCCUGGUAGUC
rnacentral:rRNA from 1 species